rnacentral:rRNA from 2 species
UCGGGGUUGGCCAUUGUGACCCGUUCCCGUAGCGACCCCA